rnacentral:rRNA from 1 species
GUCCAGACUCCUACGGGAGGCAGCAGUGGGGAAUAUUGCACAAUGGGGGAAACCCUGAUGCAGCGACGCCGCGUGAGUGAAGAAGUAUUUCGGUACGUAAAGCUCUGUCAGCAGGGAAGAAAAUGACGGUACCUGACCAAGAAGCCCCGGCUAACUACGUGCCAGCAGCCGCGGUAAUACGUAGGGGGCAAGCGUUAUCCGGAUUUACUGGGUGUAAAGGGAGCGUAGACGGCGGUGCAAGACAGAUGUGAAAGCCCGGGGCUCAACCCCGGGACUGCAUUUGGAACUGUAUGGCUGGAGUGUCGGAGAGGCAGGCGGAAUUCCUAGUGUAGCGGUGAAAUGCGUAGAUAUUAGGAGGAACACCAGUGGCGAAGGCGGCCUGCUGGACGAUGACUGACGUUGAGGCUCGAAAGCGUGGGGAGCAAACAGGAUUAGAUACCCGUGUAAU